GGGUCAACGCCCGGGUGGUUCAUGGGGGCGGUAAAUCCGUUGGCAAUAUGCCGACGCUGGUUCAAAUCCAGCUCGACCCA
rnacentral:tRNA from 2 species